rnacentral:lncRNA from 1 species
GGGAUCAAAACACACCACCAAAGUCAACAUCAACUAUAACUUUGAUGAGCAGAAGAUUGAAAAAAACUCUGAAGAAAGAUCCACCUAAUUGACACAGUUGACAAAAGUAAGCAAAGAAAGAACAAAGAAAAAACUAUUAUGAACUAACUACAAAGACUUAGACCUGAAGACAAAAACACAGAUGGAAAAAAAGGAAAAAAAACAAAAGAAAGAUUGGCAACAGAAGAGAAGAUGAAAAUUGACACAAGCCAAAAAAAAAGUGCAUGUGCAGAGACACUAGAGAAAUCAGAAAGAGAAGACAAAGUAUAGGAAAAUUUCAUCAAGACCAACACAAACUUUGCCCUAAAAUAAUUGAAUACAUCAUAUCAACAGCUUCGCAUAGGCAGUUAUAGAAACGAAUCAGUACUGAUGGAAGUGUGCUAGAAAUUGAUGGGUGCGGAAGUAGAAACAAAGUUGAGACACCC